rnacentral:lncRNA from 1 species
AACUGGGAUUUUCUAUAAGGGAUUUGAGAUUUUAGGAUGGGCAGGGUUCCCCUAUGGGCUCUAUAGGUUCCCCUAGAGAUUCUAUAGGUUCCCCUAUGGACUCUAUAGGUUUCUCUAUGGGAUCUCUAGGUUCCCAUCCCCUAUAGGAUGUGUAGAUCCCCUAUAGGGUGUGUAGGGGCCGGCGUGUGCCGGGGCUCUAUAGGUUCCCCGGCCGUAGGUGACCCCAGCCUUGCUGUGGCCUCGGCCCCGGGGGCGGCGCACCGGACAGCGCCCCCCGCUGGGGGACAGGGCCUAUGGAUCCCCCUAUGGAUCCCCUAUAGAUCAGCUCUGGAUCCCCCCCAUGGAAUCCCCUAUGGAUCUCCUAUAGAUCCCCACAGAUCUCCUAUGGAUUCCCCCCAUGGAAUCCCACAGAAUCCCAUGGAUCCCCCUAUGGAAUCCCCUAUAGAUCCCCCUAUGGAUCAUUUAUGGAUCCCCACAGAUCCCCCUACGGAAUCCCCUAUAGAUCCCCUAUGGAUCAUUUAUGGAUCCCCACAGAUCCCCUACAGACCACCAUGGAAUCCCCACAGAUCCCCUAUGGAAUCUCUUAUGGAUCCCCUAUGGAUUUCCCCACA